AUGGUGAAGGAUGAGCUGAUCAAUGGCAUCGUCGCAGCGGGAGGGGGAGGAGGUGGAGGGGUCCGGUACUGCGAGGCUGCGCCAAGGGCGGCGCCGGUGAUCGACGACGGCGUGAAGAUCAGCGUGAAGAGGAGAAAGAGGGAGCCUCCGGCGGGGUCGGGGUUGUCUGGGGUGACGGGCAACGGUAAAGACGGCGCCGGCGACAAGUCGGUCGGCGGCAAUGCGGCGGCGAAGAGGAGCUCCAGGUUCAGAGGUGUAAGCAGGCAUCGUUGGACGGGCAGGUUCGAGGCUCACCUAUGGGACAAGGGGACGUGGAACCCGACACAAAAGAAGAAAGGAAAGCAAGUCUACCUUGGGGCGUAUAACGAGGAGGAGGCCGCGGCGAGGGCAUACGAUCUGGCAGCGCUCAAAUACUGGGGACCCACCACCUAUACUAACUUCCCAGUCGUCGACUACGAGAAGGAGCUGAAGGUGAUGCAGGGUGUAUCCAGGGAAGAAUACCUAGCGUCAAUAAGAAGAAAGAGCAAUGGGUUUUCCCGCGGCGUUUCCAAGUACAGGGGGGUGGCACGGCACCACCACAACGGGCGGUGGGAGGCCCGGAUCGGCAGGGUGUUCGGCAACAAGUACCUCUACCUCGGCACCUACAGCACCCAGGAGGAGGCGGCGCGCGCCUACGACAUCGCCGCCAUCGAGUACCGGGGCAUCAACGCCGUCACCAACUUCGACCUCAGCACCUACAUCCGCUGGCUCAAGCCCGGGGCCGCCCCCGCCGAGGCCAUGAGCGGCCUGAGCGGCGCGCCGUCCCCGUCGUCCACCACCACGGCCACCACGCUGGUCACGCCGAGGGACAUGGGCGGCCUCCGCCUCCUCCCGCCCUCGCGGAACUCGCUUUCUCUGCUCGGCGACGUGGGCUCGAUGGUGUUCGGCGCCGGCCCCUCGCCGUCCCCGUCCCCUUCGUCCACCACCACGGCGCUCAGCCUGCUGCUGCGGUCGUCCGUGUUCCAGGAGCUCGUCGCGCAGCAGCACCAGCCGGCCACGGACGUCGACGCCGACCAGGCGGCGGUGCCGGCGCUGGAGAACGAGCCCGGGGAGGCACUGUACGGCGGCAGCGGCGGCGAGGACGCGGCGUUCUCGUGCUCCAUGUACGAGCUCGACGACAGCUUCGCCCGCAUCGAGGAAUCCCUCUGGGACUGCUUGGGAAGCUGUGAUCCAACCGUACCAAUCUAG
rnacentral:rRNA from 1 species